CUUUUGGGAGGUCUGAGUUCUUCUGCCAGGGUUCAGUAGGUGUUCUGUAGAAGUUGUUCCACAUGUAGAUGUAUUUCUGAUGUAUUUGUGGGGAGGAAGGUGAUCUCCAUGGCUUACUCUUCCGCCAUGUUGAAGGUCUCCCUGUUUCAAAUUUUAAU